UGCCGCCUCGGGGGGCAGCAGUAGGGAAUCUUCCACAAUGGGCGAAAGCCUGAUGGAGCAACGCCGCGUGGGUGAAGAAGGUCUUCGGAUCGUAAAACCCUGUUGUUAGAGAAGAAAGUGCGUGAGAGUAACUGUUCACGUUUCGACGGUAUCUAACCAGAAAGCCCCGGCUAACUACGUGCCAGCAGCCGCGGUAAUACGUAGGUGGCAAGCGUUAUCCGGAUUUAUUGGGCGUAAAGGGAACGCAGGCGGCCUUUUAAGUCUGAGGUGAAAGCCUUCGGCUUAACCGGAGUAGGGCAUGGGAA
rnacentral:rRNA from 1 species